UACGGAGAGUGCAAACGUUGUUCGGAUUCACUGGGCGUAAAGGGCACGUAGGCGGCUCGGCAAAUCGGUCGUGGAAUCACGACGCUUACCGUCGGAACGGCGGCCGAAAAUACCGGGCUCGAGGGCGUGAGGGGUCACUGGAACUCCUGGUGAAGCGGUGAAAUGCGUAGAUAUCAGGAGGAACGCCGGAGGCGAAAGCGAGUGACUGGCGCGUUCCUGACGCUGAGGUGCGAAAGCUAGGGGAGCAAACAGG
rnacentral:rRNA from 1 species